AGUAGUGCUGUGGAGGAGCGCGCCUGAAGUGGGCGUUCAGCUUUCUGAAUUAAACUGGUGGCCUUCGGUGCCUUGCGGGAUCUUGUGGUUGGGAGUGAAGGGAGAAAGCGGAGGACUGCCGCAGCGACUGGCUGAGAACGGGUAAAUCCCGAGCGAAGGAGUCGUUUGGGAGAUGUCGUACGGAGCCCGCCCGGGGCUUGGGGAUGUCAAACUUUCCGAGGGCGUCCUGGACGAGGGCCUCCGCAGUCCUUCGGACCCCGUGGGUCCGGGCGGGAACUGCCCGUCCGCGAUGAGACAGUCUGGGGGACUGGGAAGAGAAAGGCAGGGUCAGUUUAGGCUGCAGCCGCUUGGAGAUGCUCCAGCGUGACGGAUGUGCUUGACAAAUCUGCCUAACAACUCUGCUAAGCAGAGGAGAACGCAGACAGUAUAAAAGGAAUUUGGGGGUCUUGACUAAGAUCGCGUGCUGGAUAUAUAAAAUUAUUUCUAAAUGCCUCACCUGGGACAUAGGACAUACCACUCCAAAACCGGGAAACUUACUUGGUGUGUUGCUUGAUGACUUGGGAAACAUAAAUGCAGCCACCUAUUCCGUCUGUACUGGAAAUCUACAUUGGUGACACGUAUCAGGAAGAGGGCUGCCUCCAGACUAUGUUGUUCUGUAGGUACUCUGGGAAUCCCUAGAGGACCUGGGGAGAUAAUGAUUCAUGGGUAAAGUGCUUGCUGAACACACAUGAGGAUCUGAAGUCACAUGUGAUAUUUCACAUACAAACACCAGAUGUUAACAUUUGUAUGUAGUCCUAGCACUUGAGGGUGCUGAGAGCCAGACAGUGGAUCUUAGGCUCAUUGAUCUGCCAAAGUAGCAAGCUUCAGGGUGGCUGAGAGCCUUUCUCAAACAGUAAGGUCUAAAGUAAUCAGUGAAAACACUCAAUGUCUGUCUCUGACCUAAACAUGCAUGUACCACACAUACAAGAUAAAUAAAACUUUAAAUAAAUGAUAAUAAGAUGAGAACCA